rnacentral:rRNA from 1 species
CCUGGCGGCGUGCUUACCAUGCNAGUCGAACGGUGAUCCUGAAAGCUUGCUUUUGGGUGAGCAGUGGCGAACGGGUGAGUAACACGUGAGUAACCUGCCCCUGACUCUGGAAUAAGCGCUGGAAACGGCGUCUAAUACCGGAUAUGACACCAAUCCGCAUGGGUAUGGUGUGGAAAGUUUUUCGGUCUGGGAUGGACUCGCGGCCUAUCAGCUUGUUGGUGAGGUAAUGGCUCACCAAGGCGAUGACGGGUAGCCGGCCUGAGAGGGCGAUCGGCCACACUGGGACUGAGACACGGCCCAGACUCCUACGGGAGGCAGCAGUGGGGAAUAUUGCACAAUGGGCGCAAGCCUGAUGCAGCGACGCCGCGUGAGGGAUGACGGCCUUCGGGUUGUAAACCUCUUUCAGCAGGGAAGAAGCGAAAGUGACGGUACCUGCAGAAGAAGCACCGGCUAACUACGUGCCAGCAGCCGCGGUAAU